GUUAAGCGACUAAGCGUACACGGUGGAUGCCCUGGCAGUCAGAGGCGAUGAAGGGCGUGCUAAUCUGCGAUAAGCGCCGGUAAGGUGAUAUGAACCGUUAUAACCGGCGAUACCCGAAUGGGGAAACCCAGUGUGAUUCGUCACACUAUCAUUAACUGAAUCCAUAGGUUAAUGAGGCGAACCGGGGGAACUGAAACAUCUAAGUACCCCGAGGAAAAGAAAUCAACCGAGAUUCCCCCAGUAGCGGCGAGCGAACGGGGAGGAGCCCAGAGCCUGAAUCAGCAUGUGUGUUAGUGGAAGCGUCUGGAAAGGUGCGCGAUACAGGGUGACAGCCCCGUACACAAAAGCGCAUGUGCUGUGAGCUCGAUGAGUAGGGCGGGACACGUGGUAUCCUGUCUGAAUAUGGGGGGACCAUCCUCCAAGGCUAAAUACUCCUGACUGACCGAUAGUGAACCAGUACCGUGAGGGAAAGGCGAAAAGAACCCCGGCGAGGGGAGUGAAAAAGAACCUGAAACCGUGUACGUACAAGCAGUGGGAGCACAGGUUUACCUGUGUGACUGCGUACCUUUUGUAUAAUGGGUCAGCGACUUAUAUUCUGUAGCAAGGUUAACCGUAUAGGGGAGCCGUAGGGAAACCGAGUCUUAACCGGGCGUUAAGUUGCAGGGUAUAGACCCGAAACCCGGUGAUCUAGCCAUGGGCAGGUUGAAGGUUGGGUAACACUAACUGGAGGACCGAACCGACUAAUGUUGAAAAAUUAGCGGAUGACCUGUGGCUGGGGGUGAAAGGCCAAUCAAACCGGGAGAUAGCUGGUUCUCCCCGAAAGCUAUUUAGGUAGCGCCUCGUGAAUUCAUCUCCGGGGGUAGAGCACUGUUUCGGCUAGGGGGCCAUCCCGGCUUACCAACCCGAUGCAAACUGCGAAUACCGGAGAAUGUUAUCACGGGAGACACACGGCGGGUGCUAACGUCCGUCGUGAAGAGGGAAACAACCCAGACCGCCAGCUAAGGUCCCAAAGUCAUGGUUAAGUGGGAAACGAUGUGGGAAGGCCCAGACAGCCAGGAUGUUGGCUUAGAAGCAGCCAUCAUUUAAAGAAAGCGUAAUAGCUCACUGGUCGAGUCGGCCUGCGCGGAAGAUGUAACGGGGCUAAACCAUGCACCGAAGCUGCGGCAGCGAACGUAUCACCCAAGACAACUUUACGGAGUUGACGAUUGACGGAGCGAAGCGACGUCAAAGCGUUCAUUAAAGUCGAGUUGGCUUAGGGAUACGUUCGUUGGGUAGGGGAGCGUUCUGUAAGCCUGUGAAGGUGUGUCGUGAGGCAUGCUGGAGGUAUCAGAAGUGCGAAUGCUGACAUAAGUAACGAUAAAGCGGGUGAAAAGCCCGCUCGCCGGAAGACCAAGGGUUCCUGUCCAACGUUAAUCGGGGCAGGGUGAGUCGACCCCUAAGGCGAGGCCGAAAGGCGUAGUCGAUGGGAAACGGGUUAAUAUUCCCGUACUUGGUGUUACUGCGAAGGGGGGACGGAGAAGGCUAUGUUGGCCGGGCGACGGUUGUCCCGGUUUAAGCGUGUAGGUGUGUGUUCCAGGUAAAUCCGGUUCACUUUAACACUGAGGCGUGACGACGAGGCACUACGGUGCUGAAGCAACAAAUGCCCUGCUUCCAGGAAAAGCCUCUAAGCAUCAGGUAACACGAAAUCGUACCCCAAACCGACACAGGUGGUCAGGUAGAGAAUACCAAGGCGCUUGAGAGAACUCGGGUGAAGGAACUAGGCAAAAUGGUGCCGUAACUUCGGGAGAAGGCACGCUGACACGUAGGUGAAGUGAUUUACUCAUGGAGCUGAAGUCAGUCGAAGAUACCAGCUGGCUGCAACUGUUUAUUAAAAACACAGCACUGUGCAAACACGAAAGUGGACGUAUACGGUGUGACGCCUGCCCGGUGCCGGAAGGUUAAUUGAUGGGGUCAGCGUAAGCGAAGCUCCUGAUCGAAGCCCCGGUAAACGGCGGCCGUAACUAUAACGGUCCUAAGGUAGCGAAAUUCCUUGUCGGGUAAGUUCCGACCUGCACGAAUGGCGUAAUGAUGGCCAGGCUGUCUCCACCCGAGACUCAGUGAAAUUGAACUCGCUGUGAAGAUGCAGUGUACCCGCGGCAAGACGGAAAGACCCCGUGAACCUUUACUAUAGCUUGACACUGAACAUUGAGCCUUGAUGUGUAGGAUAGGUGGGAGGCUUUGAAGUGUGGACGCCAGUCUGCAUGGAGCCGACCUUGAAAUACCACCCUUUAAUGUUUGAUGUUCUAACGUGGACCCGUAAUCCGGGUUGCGGACAGUGUCUGGUGGGUAGUUUGACUGGGGCGGUCUCCUCCUAAAGAGUAACGGAGGAGCACGAAGGUUGGCUAAUCCUGGUCGGACAUCAGGAGGUUAGUGCAAUGGCAUAAGCCAGCUUGACUGCGAGCGUGACGGCGCGAGCAGGUGCGAAAGCAGGUCAUAGUGAUCCGGUGGUUCUGAAUGGAAGGGCCAUCGCUCAACGGAUAAAAGGUACUCCGGGGAUAACAGGCUGAUACCGCCCAAGAGUUCAUAUCGACGGCGGUGUUUGGCACCUCGAUGUCGGCUCAUCACAUCCUGGGGCUGAAGUAGGUCCCAAGGGUAUGGCUGUUCGCCAUUUAAAGUGGUACGCGAGCUGGGUUUAGAACGUCGUGAGACAGUUCGGUCCCUAUCUGCCGUGGGCGCUGGAGAACUGAGGGGGGCUGCUCCUAGUACGAGAGGACCGGAGUGGACGCAUCACUGGUGUUCGGGUUGUCAUGCCAAUGGCACUGCCCGGUAGCUAAAUGCGGAAGAGAUAAGUGCUGAAAGCAUCUAAGCACGAAACUUGCCCCGAGAUGAGUUCUCCCUGAGACUUAGAGUCUCCUGAAGGAACGUUGAAGACGACGACGUUGAUAGGCCGGGUGUGUAAGCGCAGCGAUGCGUUGAGCUAACCGGUACUAAUGAACCGUGAGGCUUAACCUUACA
rnacentral:rRNA from 1 species